rnacentral:lncRNA from 1 species
CCCGGCUGCCCCCAGACCCCACGUGCUGUUGCCUGUACUGGGGCCGCCCCAUCACCUGCUUGGUGCCCUGGUGCUCAGGGCCAGAGCUGGUUCAACUUCUGUAUCACUGUGAUGUAUUUUCCUUCAGCUUUUUGAAAACAAACUUUUCAAGAAGGAACUAAGAUCACGCAGUGUUCCCAGCACUGGUUAAUAUUAGACUAACACCUGCCCCGUGGUACAUUUGAUUGAACUGUGUUGUGGGGGAGAUAACUGUCCUCCCUAAGUUCCCUGAGGACACAGCCAUGUCCUUCUUGUUCAGUUCCUGGUGGGUGCUGGGUGACAGCUCAUGGGAUGAGUGCCGUGAAGGCUGUGGUUGAUGGGCUGAUGAAGGGGUGGCCGUGCCGGGACCCACCUGUCCUCCCCUCCUUCUCCCUGUGCCAUGCAGAUGUGGUCAACGGGCUGAUGGGCACGGCUGUGGGACCCCAUCAUUCCCCUGCCCCGCAUGACUCUGCUCUCCCAGCUCGACUGCUCACUUCAGACUUCCCUUAUGGAAGGAGUUGCCAGAUAGAGCAAGUAAAAUACAGUGUGCCAGACACAGGUUUAUUUCAACACUGGGAAGGCUCCAUUCCUACUUAAACCCAGCAGGGAACAGGGAGCGGUGUGCAGAGGAGGUGGCCUGCCCGGGAAGCCGGCCUUGGUGCUGGGACUGCAGGGAGAGGGCUGUGAGGAAGAGCACAGGCUUCAUGCACAUUGCACAGAGGAGGAGAUUCAUGGGGACAGCAGGCACUGGUUAGGCACAGCGGGAAGGUUAUCGAAGACAAAACACAUUUCUACCCAAGUUUAAAUGACCUGCUAUGCCCACAGAGCUUGAUCCAGAAGUGCACAGCUUCCCUCUGUUGCCCCGGCUGGAGUGCACUGGCAUGAUCUCAGCUCACUCACUGCAACCUCUGCUGCCUGGUUCAAGCGAUUCUCCUGCCUCAGCCUCCUGAAUAGCUGGGGUUACAGGUGCGCACCACCACGCCCGGCUAAUUUUUGUAUUUUUAGUAGAGACAGGGUUUCAUCAUGUUGGCCAGGUGGGUCUCAAACUCCUGACCUCAGGUGGUCCUUCUGCCUUGGCCUCCCAAAGUGCUGGGAUUACAGGCGUGAGCCACUGCGCCCGGCCGAAGUGUUUGAAAUCUUUAAGCAUCCUGGUAAAUAUUGAGUUUUGUCAAUAUUUAGAAAAGUUGCAUGAUUGACAUCGCUUCCACCCAUGUUUCAGAGCAUCUGAUUUGUCAGACCCUCACCAAAAAUGGGCUUUUAUCAAAAUGUAAUAAAAAAUAAAUACAACUUUUCCAAUGACAAAACUGGUUUCUCAUUUUUUUGAUACAUGUUUCUUGAAUUCUAGAGAGAUUGAAUAUUAUGAAUAUGUUUUCUGUUAUAUCUUUUAUAUUAAUAUAAAUGUUAUAUAUUUACAUAUUUUUAAUGAGUUGGCAAUUAUGCCCUGGCUUCAUUUUUUUUCUCAUGGGAGUUAUCUUUUUUACUUACUGAUUGUUAAAAUAAUCAAAUAUUCUAGAAAAUAAAUGUUUUGUUUUUC